ACUGCAAGCUCCGCCUCCCGGGUUCACGCCAUUCUCCUGCCUCAGCCUCCCAAGUAGCUGGGACUACAGGCGCCCGCCACUACGCCCGGCUAAUUUUUUGUAUUUUUAGUAGAGACGGGGUUUCAUCGUUUUAGCCGGGAUGGUCUCGAUCUCCUCCUGACCUCGUGAUCAGCCCGCCUCGGCCUCCCAAAGUGCUGGGAUUACAGGCGUGAGCCACCGCGCCCGGCCUACUUCUUUUUUUUUUUGAGACAGGGUUUCGCUCUGUUGCCCAGCCUGGAGUGCAGUGAUGCGAUCUAGGCUUUGAGCCUGCUCUCAGGCUCAUAGGCCAUUCUGAAGAAACAAACAUACAAAUAGGCUGCUGUAGUAGAGUAGAUGUUGUGAAAAGUUUAUAACCCUGGCUGAGGAGGAAGUGAGCAACGCUGGCUGGGGUCUUCAGAAAAGAAUUCCCAAAGUCUGCUGAGAACAGACCCAGUCCCUGAGGAAGGAGAAGAUGUUGCUGCCACGAUCAGUGCCACAGAGACCCUCUCGGAAGAGGAGCAGGAAGAGCUAAGAAGAGAACUUGCAAAGGUA
rnacentral:lncRNA from 1 species